UACGUAGGGUGCAAGCGUUAUCCGGAAUUAUUGGGCGUAAAGAGCUCGUAGGCGGUUUGUCGCGUCUGCUGUGAAAACUGGAGGCUCAACCUCCGGCCUGCAGUGGGUACGGGCAGACUAGAGUGCGGUAGGGGAGAUUGGAAUUCCUGGUGUAGCGGUGGAAUGCGCAGAUAUCAGGAGGAACACCGAUGGCGAAGGCAGAUCUCUGGGCCGUAACUGACGCUGAGGAGCGAAAGCAUGGGGAGCGAACAGG
rnacentral:rRNA from 1 species